GGUUACUGCUAUCGAGGUUCGACUAAGCCAUGCGAGUCGAAUGUAGCAAUACAUGGCGAACUGCUCAGUAACACGUGGACAACCUGCCCUUAGGACGGGGAUAAACCCGGGAAACUGGGUAUAAUACCCGAUAGGUCUCGAUUGCUGGAAUGCAUCGAGAUUUAAAGCUCCGGCGCCUAAGGAUGGGUCUGCGGCCUAUCAGGUAGUAGUGGGUGUAGCGUACCUACUAGCCUACGACGGGUACGGGUUGUGAGAGCAAGAGCCCGGAGAUGGAUUCUGAGACACGAAUCCAGGCCCUACGGGGUGCAGCAGGCGCGAAAACUUUACAAUGCUGGCAACAGCGAUAAGGGAACCUCGAGUGCCAGGUUACAAAUCUGGCUGUCGAGAUGCCUAAAAAGCAUUUCAUAGCAAGGGCCGGGCAAGACCGGUGCCAGCCGCCGCGGUAACACCGGCGGCUCGAGUGGUAACCGUUAUUAUUGGGUCUAAAGGGUCUGUAGCCGGCCGGAUAAGUCUCUUGAGAAAUCUGGCAGCUUAACUGUCAGGCUUUCAGGAGAUACUGUCUGGCUCGAGGCCGGGAGAGGUGAGAGGUACUUCAGGGGUAGGGGUGAAAUCUUGUAAUCCUUGAAGGACCACCAGUGGCGAAGGCGUCUCACCAGAACGGACCUGACG
rnacentral:rRNA from 1 species